CUAAAAUCCGUCGACUUUAAAAAUCGUGAGGGUUCAAGUCCCUCUAUCCCC
rnacentral:tRNA from 1 species